AAAAAGACAAACCCUAGGUUUCCAUGUCCAACUUUAACUGUCCAUUUUAUAGGAAAAUUUUUUAUAAUUAGUAUUUUUAUUGUUGUUAGAUGAUAAAAUAUGAUUAAUAUUUUAUACGUGACUUGUCUUUUUAACUUUUUUUCAUAAUUUUUUUAAAUAAGAUAGACGGUUAAAUGUUGGGCACGAAAAUCAGGGUU
rnacentral:pre_miRNA from 1 species